UACGUAGGAUGCAAGCGUUGUCCGGAAUUAUUGGGCGUAAAGAGUUCGUAGGCGGUUAUCUAAGUCUGGUGUUAAAGACGGGAGCUCAACUCCCGCAUGGCAUCGGAAACUGGAUGGCUAGAGUGUGGAAGAGGUAACUGGAAUUCCUGGUGUAGCGGUGAAAUGCGCAGAUAUCAGGAGGAACACCUGUGGCGAAAGCGAGUUACUGGUCCAUUACUGACACUGAGGAACGAAAGCCAGGGUAGCAAAAGGG
rnacentral:rRNA from 1 species